rnacentral:tRNA from 1 species
UGGGGAGUCGUCCAGUGGUAGGACAACGGACUUUGGAUCCGUAAACGGUGGUUCGAGUCCAUCCUCCCCAGCCA